rnacentral:rRNA from 1 species
UACGUAGGGUCCGAGCGUUGUCCGGAAUUAUUGGGCGUAAAGGGCUCGUAGGCGGUCCGUCACGUCGGGAGUGAAAACUCGGAGCUCAACUCCGAGCCUGCUUCCGAUACGGGCAGACUAGAGGUAGGCAGGGGAGAGCGGAACUCCUGGUGUAGCGGUGGAAUGCGCAGAUAUCAGGAAGAACACCGGUGGCGAAGGCGGCACUCUGGGCCGGUACUGACGUGAGGAGCGAAAAGCGUGGGGGAGCAAAACAGG